GGUUAAGCGACUAAGCGUACACGGUGGAUGCCCUGGCAGUCAGAGGCGAUGAAGGACGUGCUAAUCUGCGAUAAGCGUCGGUGAGGUGAUAUGAACCGUUAUAACCGGCGAUUUCCGAAUGGGGAAACCCAGUGUGUUUCGACACACUAUCAUUAACUGAAUCCAUAGGUUAAUGAGGCGAACCGGGGGAACUGAAACAUCUAAGUACCCCGAGGAAAAGAAAUCAACCGAGAUUCCCCCAGUAGCGGCGAGCGAACGGGGAGGAGCCCAGAGCCUGAAUCAGUGUGUGUGUUAGUGGAAGCGUCUGGAAAGGCGCGCGAUACAGGGUGACAGCCCCGUACACAAAAAUGCACAUAUUGUGAGCUCGAUGAGUAGGGCGGGACACGUGGUAUCCUGUCUGAAUAUGGGGGGACCAUCCUCCAAGGCUAAAUACUCCUGACUGACCGAUAGUGAACCAGUACCGUGAGGGAAAGGCGAAAAGAACCCCGGCGAGGGGAGUGAAAAAGAACCUGAAACCGUGUACGUACAAGCAGUGGGAGCCUCUUUAUGGGGUGACUGCGUACCUUUUGUAUAAUGGGUCAGCGACUUAUAUUCUGUAGCAAGGUUAACCGAAUAGGGGAGCCGAAGGGAAACCGAGUCUUAACUGGGCGUUAAGUUGCAGGGUAUAGACCCGAAACCCGGUGAUCUAGCCAUGGGCAGGUUGAAGGUUGGGUAACACUAACUGGAGGACCGAACCGACUAAUGUUGAA
rnacentral:rRNA from 1 species